rnacentral:rRNA from 1 species
GUUAUAACCGGCGAUACCCGAAUGGGGAAACCCAGUGUGAUUCGUCACACUAUCAUUAACUGAAUCCAUAGGUUAAUGAGGCGAACCGGGGGAACUGAAACAUCUAAGUACCCCGAGGAAAAGAAAUCAACCGAGAUUCCCCCAGUAGCGGCGAGCGAACGGGGAGGAGCCCAGAGCCUGAAUCAGCAUGUGUGUUAGUGGAAGCGUCUGGAAAGGCGCGCGAUACAGGGUGACAGCCCCGUACACAAAAGCGCAUGUGCUGUGAGCUCGAUGAGUAGGGCGGGACACGUGGUAUCCUGUCUGAAUAUGGGGGGACCAUCCUCCAAGGCUAAAUACUCCUGACUGACCGAUAGUGAACCAGUACCGUGAGGGAAAGGCGAAAAGAACCCCGGCGAGGGGAGUGAAAAAGAACCUGAAACCGUGUACGUACAAGCAGUGGGAGCACAGGUUUACCUGUGUGACUGCGUACCUUUUGUAUAAUGGGUCAGCGACUUAUAUUCUGUAGCAAGGUUAACCGUAUAGGGGAGCCGCAGGGAAACCGAGUCUUAAUUGGGCGUUAAGUUGCAGGGUAUAGACCCGAAACCCGGUGAUCUAGCCAUGGGCAGGUUGAAGGUUGGGUAACACUAACUGGAGGACCGAACCGACUAAUGUUGAAAAAUUAGCGGAUGACCUGUGGCUGGGGGUGAAAGGCCAAUCAAACCGGGAGAUAGCUGGUUCUCCCCGAAAGCUAUUUAGGUAGCGCCUCGUGAAUUCAUCUCCGGGGGUAGAGCACUGUUUCGGCUAGGGGGCCAUCCCGGCUUACCAACCCGAUGCAAACUGCGAAUACCGGAGAAUGUUAUCACGGGAGACACACGGCGGGUGCUAACGUCCGUCGUGAAGAGGGAAACAACCCAGACCGCCAGCUAAGGUCCCAAAGUCAUGGUUAAGUGGGAAACGAUGUGGGAAGGCCCAGACAGCCAGGAUGUUGGCUUAGAAGCAGCCAUCAUUUAAAGAAAGCGUAAUAGCUCACUGGUCGAGUCGGCCUGCGCGGAAGAUGUAACGGGGCUAAACCAUGCACCGAAGCUGCGGCAGCGACGCUUAUGCGUUGCUGGGUAGGGGAGCGUUCUGUAAGCCUGCGAAGGUGGCCUGUGAGGGUUGCUGGAGGUAUCAGAAGUGCGAAUGCUGACAUAAGUAACGAUAAAGCGGGUGAAAAGCCCGCUCGCCGGAAGACCAAGGGUUCCUGUCCAACGUUAAUCGGGGCAGGGUGAGUCGACCCCUAAGGCGAGGCCGAAAGGCGUAGUCGAUGGGAAACGGGUUAAUAUUCCCGUACUUGGUGUUACUGCGAAGGGGGGACGGAGAAGGCUAUGUUGGCCGGGCGACGGUUGUCCCGGUUUAAGCGUGUAGGUGUGUGUUCCAGGUAAAUCCGGUUCACUUUAACACU